GAUGAAACGCUGGCGGCAUGCCUAAUACAUGCAAGUCGAACGAAGUCUUUAGGAAGCUUGCUUCCAAAGAGACUUAGUGGCGAACGGGUGAGUAACACGUAGGUAACCUGCCCAUGUGCCCGGGAUAACUGCUGGAAACGGUAGCUAAAACCGGAUAGGUAUGAGGGAGGCAUCUUCCUCAUAUUAAAGCACCUUCGGGUGUGAACAUGGAUGGACCUGCGGCGCAUUAGCUGGUUGGUGAGGUAACGGCCCACCAAGGCGAUGAUGCGUAGCCGACCUGAGAGGGUGAUUAAUACAAGAUGGCAUCAUGAGUCCGCAUGUUCACAUGAUUAAAGGUAUUCCGGUAGACGAUGGGGAUGCGUUCCAUUAGAUAGUAGGCGGGUAACGGCCCACCUAGUCUUCGAUGGAUAGGGUUCUGAGAGGAAGGUCCCCACAUUGGAACUGAGACACGGUCCAAACUCCUAC
rnacentral:rRNA from 1 species